CCUACGGGAGGCUGCAGUGAGGAAUAUUGGUCAAUGGUCGGGAGACUGAAUCAGCCAAGCCGCGUGAGGGAGGAAGGUACAGAGUAUCGUAAACCUCUUUUGUCAGGGAACAAAGACUGGGACGCGUCCCCGGAUGAGUGUACCUGAAGAAAAAGCAUCGGCUAACUCCGUGCCAGCAGCCGCGGUACGACGGAGGAUGCGAGCGUUAUCCGGAUUUAUUGGGUUUAAAGGGUGCGUAGGCGGGUUAUCAAGUCAGCGGUAAAAUCGUGGAGCUCAACUCCAUCCAGCCGUUGAAACUGAUGAUCUUGAGUGGGCGAGAGGUAUGCGGAAUGCGUGGUGUAGCGGUGAAAUGCAUAGAUAUCACGCAGAACUCCGAUUGCGAAGGCAGCAUACCGGCGCCCGACUGACGCUGAAGCACGAAAGCGUGGGUAUCGAACAGGAUUAGAUACCCCUGUAGUC
rnacentral:rRNA from 1 species